GGGGGUGAUCGGUUUCGACUUGGGGCGAUAGUCCUGAGGGAAGCGGGUCGAGGAUCCACAGUUAUCUCGUUAACGCCCUGUGGAACCAAUAAGUGCCGACAACAAUCGCACUGACUUCGCUCUCGCUGCCUGAGCAGUGACCGAAGGGUCAGCCCGGACUUAGCCUUCGGUCCGGCUCCUGGCCUCAUUCAGAAGGCUUGCUCCACCGUCUGUGUCCUGGGGACGGUGGGGGACUUUUCCAGGACUGGGCCCGGCUGCGACAUGUCAGUGUGAGUGCAGGGGCCGAGCAGACCGUGACACUGACUGCACCCGGAGAAGUCUCAGGUCAUCCUUCGAGGACCGGGGUUCAAUUCCCCGCACCUCCACUC
rnacentral:tmRNA from 1 species